AGUGAAGGCUGGCGGUAGGCCUAACACAUGCAAGUCGAACGGCAGCACAGUAAGAGCUUGCUCUUACGGGUGGCGAGUGGCGGACGGGUGAGGAAUACAUCGGAAUCUACUUUUUCGUGGGGGAUAACGUAGGGAAACUUACGCUAAUAUCGCAUACGACCUACGGGUGAAAGCAGGGGAUCUUCGGACCUUGCGCGAUUGAAUGAGCCGAUGUCGGAUUAGCUAGUUGGCGGGGUAAAGGCCCACCAAGGCGACGAUCCGUAGCUGGUCUGAGAGGAUGAUCAGCCACACUGGAACUGAGACACGGUCCAGACUCCUACGGGAGGCAGCAGUGGGGAAUAUUGGACAAUGGGCGCAAGCCUGAUCCAGCCAUACCGCGUGGGUGAAGAAGGCCUUCGGGUUGUAAAGCCCUUUUGUUGGAAAGAAAAGCAGCAGGUUAAUACCCCGCUGUUCUGACGGUACCCAAAGAAUAAGCACCGGCUAACUUCGUG
rnacentral:rRNA from 1 species